GCCAUCAUAGUAUAGUGGUUAGUACACCACGUUGUGGAACCGUGGAAACCUCAGUUCGAUUCUGGGUGAUGGCA
rnacentral:tRNA from 1 species